rnacentral:tRNA from 1 species
GGUCUUAUAGUCAUUUUAUGAUUUUAGAUUGCAAAUCUAAAGGUAAAUUAUAUUUUAAGGCUU